rnacentral:rRNA from 1 species
AGUGAACGCUGGCGGUAGGCCUAACACAUGCAAGUCGAACGGCAGCACAGUAAGAGCUUGCUCUUACGGGUGGCGAGUGGCGGACGGGUGAGGAAUACAUCGGAAUCUACUUUUUCGUGGGGGAUAACGUAGGGAAACUUACGCUAAUACCGCAUACGACCUACGGGUGAAAGCAGGGGAUCUUCGGACCUUGCGCGAUUGAAUGAGCCGAUGUCGGAUUAGCUAGUUGGCGGGGUAAAGGCCCACCAAGGCGACGAUCCGUAGCUGGUCUGAGAGGAUGAUCAGCCACAUUGGAACUGAGACACGGUCCAGACUCCUACGGGAGGCAGCAGUGGGGAAUAUUGGACAAUGGGCGCAAGCCUGAUCCAGCCAUACCGCGUGGGUGAAGAAGGCCUUCGGGUUGUAAAGCCCUUUUGUUGGGAAAGAAAAGCAGCAGGUUAAUACCCCGCUGUUCUGACGGUACCCAAAGAAUAAGCACCGGCCAACUUCGUG